rnacentral:misc_RNA from 1 species
UACGAAGGGCCCAAGCGUUAAUCGGAAUCACUGGGCUUAAAGGGUGCGCAGGCGGGCCUGUAAGUACCUUGUGAAAUCCCACAGCUCAACUGUGGAAUUGCUUGGUAAACUACAGGUCUUGAGCCCGACAGAGGUCGUCAGAACGCUAGGUGGAGCGGUGAAAUGCGUAGAUAUCUAGCGGAAUGCCAAAGGUGAAGACAGACGGCUGGGUCGGUGCUGACGCUCAGGCACGAAAGCAUGGGUAGCGAACGGG